UAGCUUCUCGAAUCUCCCUGCCUAUUCCCCACCUCCACCAUUCCCCGUUCUCCCUAGCUCAUUUGUUCCUUGCAUUGCCGGCUCAACGCCGCCCCUCGCCGUGGCUCCUGCGUCUCCUCUCAGCCCGGAGUAGGAAUUGAGUGGUCCUCACCUGCGCAGCACGCCUCGGCGAGGUACGUGGUUGUCUCGAGGUAGAGGGUGGCUUAGAGAGGGAGAAGCCGGCAGACAAUGUCAUGAGCUCAGAAGAAUAGGAGGAAGCGAGGCCGCGUGAGGCAGAGGAGAAGAAGCAAUCGAGUGCUCCUCGCUUGCAAGUGAGGCCGCCAAAGCCGGAGGAGAAGAGGAAGCGGCAAGGUAGGGCGUGGUGGUGGCGGGAUCUCCGACAUGCUCACCAUUGGGGAGUGGCGGCGGUCAGAGCUAGCUAGGCGCGGCAAGUCCCCAUGAGAGGUUCACGGUUCAGAUUUCAGACCAUUCACAAGCCGUGCAGGUACCUACUCACCCAAGUGCUACAUCUCCAUGUGUCUAAUCCCCAUUUUUCAGCUAACUGCAAUUCUCACACCAUGUCGGCCCGCGGUUCGACAUGGGACGUUUUGUGCUUCAUCAAGAGCUUCUGCACAGUGAGCCUGACAAAGACGGCCGUCAUGCUUUUCUCCCCUGUCAAGCGGUCAGACUAGAUGGGGGGAUGCAGCGACAGCAAUCUUCGCGGAGCGUGUGGAUACAACUACAUCAAUUGGGAAGGUCAUCUAUAAGCAUUGUUAUAGAUGGUCUAAUCAAGCAGAACAUGUGCUAGCAAAAUUUAGUUAUUGUAAUAAGAUUUAUGUAGUUUGGAUGAACGAACCUCCUGACAAAUAGUUUGGAUGAACGAGCCACAUAUGUGUUGGUCAGUAAGAUCAUAAACGAUGUAUCUAUUAUUUCAGAUUAAUAAAGCUAGUCAUGAUGGUAUUUCUAAAA